rnacentral:rRNA from 1 species
GUAGGUGGCAAGCGUUGUCCGGAAUUAUUGGGCGUAAAGCGCGCGCAGGCGGGGUCCUUUGAGUCUGAUGUGAAAGCCCACGGCUCAACCGUGGAGGGUCAUUGGAAACUGGGGGACUUGAGUACAGAAGAGGAAAGCGGAAUUCCAAGUGUAGCGGUGAAAUGCGUAGAGAUUUGGAGGAACACCAGUGGCGAAGGCGGCUUUCUGGUCUGUAACUGACGCUGAGGCGCGAAAGCGUGGGGAGCAAACAGGAUUAGAUACCCUGGUAGUCCACGCCGUAAACGAUGAGAGCUAAGUGUUAGGGGGUUUCCGCCCCUUAGUGCUGCAGCUAACGCAUUAAGCACUCCGCCUGGGGAGUACGGCCGCAAGGCUG